UACGAAGGGGGCUAGCGUUGUUCGGAAUCACUGGGCGUAAAGGGCGCGUAGGCGGCCUGUUAAGUCGGGGGUGAAAGCCUGUGGCUCAACCACAGAAUUGCCUUCGAUACUGUUAGGCUUGAGACCGGAAGAGGUAAGUGGAACUGCGAGUGUAGAGGUGAAAUUCGUAGAUAUUCGCAAGAACACCAGUGGCGAAGGCGGCUUACUGGUCCGGUUCUGACGCUGAGGCGCGAAAGCGUGGGGAGCAAACAGG
rnacentral:rRNA from 1 species